CCCAGGGGGAGCAGGAUGAGGACCCUCAGGGGAGGAGCCGGGUAGCAGGCCGCCCGACUCCCAUCCGGUUCUGAGGUGCUUGGGGUUCACCAGAGCAGCCAGCGGUGGAAGCAGCCCGAUCUCAGUUCCAAUGCGAGGCAGCCUUGCUGAAGGGUGGAAGAGAACGAGAAAGCCAGCCACGCCUUGAGCACAGGCGUCUCCUUCACUGCUCCCAGAGCCAAAAUUCCCUCCACUCCAGCAGAGAGAGCCAGGAAGGGUGGAAACCAGAAGGGCUCUCAGUUCGGUGCAACCCAGCUGUGUGUGUUGUUCAACCACAGACUGCAGAAUCUGACCACCCUAACUAGCGAAGAAGACAUGAGUCCCCUGCAAUUUGCCGAGUUGAGAAAAGGCCUCCAGCUGUGGCUUUAUUGAUGCAGACCAGACGAGAACAACACCACUGCUAGUGUCCUGAAACACUUUCAUCCCUGUCAUUGGUCCCAACAUUUGCCUCAAGUGAGGUAUAAACUAAGUUCAAAUUGUUUGAGUUUUCAUGCUUUUAAAUUCAAACACCAGAAGGGAUUCAUUCAAUAAGCGACGCUGCGUAGUGAGAUCUGAAAGGAACUGUAACCCACAGGUCCUCCUGGGAGAGCUGGGGCCUUGUGCAUAGAGAGGCCUGCAGCACAGUGUGGCUGCUGCAGAGAUCAGUGGGGCAAGGCACCUGUCUGCUUCCAAAAAGUAUUAAGAGAAACUGAAUUCUGCUUGUGGACAAUAAAUUCAG
rnacentral:lncRNA from 1 species